rnacentral:rRNA from 1 species
GACGAACGCUGGCGACGUGCUUAACACAUGCAAGUCGAACGCUGAAGCUCAGCUUGCUGGGUGGAUGAGUGGCGAACGGGUGAGUAACACGUGAGUAACCUGCCCCCUUCUUUGGGAUAACGCCCGGAAACGGGUGCUAAUACUGGAUAUUCACUGAUCUUCGCAUGGGGGUUGGUGGAAAGGUUUUUUCUGGUGGGGGAUGGGCUCGCGGCCUAUCAGCUUGUUGGUGGGGUGAUGGCCUACCAAGGCUUUGACGGGUAGCCGGCCUGAGAGGGUGACCGGUCACAUUGGGACUGAGAUACGGCCCAGACUCCUACGGGAGGCAGCAGUGGGGAAUAUUGCACAAUGGGCGAAAGCCUGAUGCAGCGACGCCGCGUGAGGGAUGGAGGCCUUCGGGUUGUAAACCUCUUUCGCUCAUGGUCAAGCCGCAACAUUGGUUGUGGUGAGGGUAGUGGGUAAAGAAGCGCCGGCUAACUACGUG